rnacentral:rRNA from 1 species
CCAUUAGCUUGUUGUGAGGUAACGGCUCACCAAGGCUGUGAUGGCUAGCUGGUCUGAGAGGAUGACCAGCCACACUGGGACUGAGACACGGCCCAGACUCCUACGGGAGGCAGCAGUGGGGAAUAUUGCGCAAUGGGCGAAAGCCUGACGCAGCGACGCCGCGUGGGUGAUGAAGGCCUUCGGGUCGUAAAGCCCUGUCGCAGGGGAAGAAUAAGCAUCGGUAUAAUACGCCGGUGCCCUGACGGUACCCUGCAAGAAAGCACCGGCUAACUCCGUG